ensembl:lncRNA
CUCAGGCUGUUCCAGAGCAGGACAGAUGCCUCAUGGCCACCUCCAUCCCCAUCCUUCCUGCCUCCAGCACCAGUUACACACUCAGGAACUGUCUUUUUUUGGGAAUCCUGUUGAGAUGUUGCUGUCUGUCACUGCUGCUCGCAUCCCUGUGAGUGCUACAAGCGGUGCGGGAGCCAGGAGUUGACCUCAUCACUUCUCAGAAGGAAAUGGGCUGCCAGCGGCUGGUAUUCUCGCUGACCUCAUGCUGUGGGACCUGCAUCCCAUCUCACCUGGAAAUGCCAGCUGCAAGACAAAGCUGCAUUCAGUGGAAGCGCCAUCUGCAGCCUGGAUGUGUGCCGCAUCGGGGAGCCUGUUCCUUUGGGCUGCGAUGCCUUGGUCCUGCAGUGGGACCACGUGGGAGGACCCCGAGCAUCCCCAAAGUGAUGGAUGGAUCCAGACCUGCCCAGAAGCCAUGUGCUGGAACAAGAAAAGCAAUCACAGCUGAAAAUGAGAGGAAGGGGAAGUGUGAAGCAAACCUGGUGGGUGCCAGACAGACACCCCCGAAGGUGCCUCCCACCCAGCUCUAGGAUGGCAGCAAUGGCAUGGUGAGAGAAGCCAAGGGCAUGGUUUAAUUCUUUUAGGGGCAAGAGGAAGCAAUUUCCUCACUGAGAGCACGUGGAGGGCGCAGCUGAUGGAUAGGACUCUUCCACCCGCCACGGGCUGAGCACGGAAAGCUCAGGAGGGAUUUUUCCUGGUCUGCUCCAUUAACACAAACAGACAGCAAUGCUAGCUGCUGACACUGGGGUUAAUUAAAUCCAUCUCUCCAUCAAUUCUUAUUCAACUAUUAUCGAUGGUCAUUAGAUCAGUGACAAAGUGACAAGCAAACCGUAAUAGACUCAUCUUAACCCUUGUGGUGCUGGAGGAAGGUAGUAGGACCAGGUACGUGUGUGGGUUGCUCUCAGAGCAUCGCAGCUCUACUGGAAGCAGUCCCCUUGCUGCCACAGGCUUCCCAUAGCUCAUGUGGGCACCCACGCUGGUUCAAAAGAUGUCCAGGCACAGUGCCUCCUCAAAGGGCUCAUCAGUUUGGGACUUUUAAGCCACCUUCGCCUUCCUAUGGAUUUAUAACUCGACGGGAAACGUGUGCUGACAACUCCUUGAGCCCCCCCACAUCCUGAAGGCUCCCUCCAUUCCAGGAGACUCCCGGGGAAAGCUGCCUGGCUCAUUCUCUUCUCAGUUAACAGCAGAAAUGGGAACUGAAGUCUGCCAAGGGGCUGCAACACAUUUUCACACCUCCACUGCCACAGCCCUAGAGAUGAGGUCCAGCUGCUGCAAGGUCACCCUCAGUCUUCAGGUGGCUUUGCAUCUGGCUCAGGAACGAUGCUUGUGCCCUUCUGCUCAGUAAAGCACUUUGGGCUGAAAUCCCUUCCCUGGUACAUGCUGCCGUGGUUCUGCAGGGUUCUGAAAUCUUGUGCUCCGCAAAUAGAUUGGCUUUGCAUCAGCUGCUAACACCCUCAGAAGCUGCAAGGUUUUCAUUUGUCAGCCUCCCCACAGGAAGAGCAUCUCCCCGUUGGCGUCCUGCAGCCCCCCAGCCAGCUACAAGAUCUGCAGCAGCACCUCACUCUGCGCUCCAUUAAAGGGGCAGCCCCAUCCCCAGGAUCCUCACCUGGGGCCACCAACCUGCGCUCAGGCCCCCUCUAACAUGGAACAUCUUCAGCCUUCAGCAAAGUACAAGGAAAGAAAAUGAUGAUGAUUUUUUUUGUGUGUUCCUUGGCUUUUCUUUCUAUUUUUUUCUUUCCCUUUUUCUAUUUUCUCUCCUUUACUUUUUCUUUUUUUUUUUUUCUUGCUGUUCUAGUUUCUCGCUGGCAACAACAGACGUUAUGUUUUGACGAGUUAAUAAACAU